rnacentral:rRNA from 1 species
UACGAAGGGUGCAAGCGUUACUCGGAAUUACUGGGCGUAAAGCGUGCGUAGGUGGUUUGUUAAGUCUGUUGUGAAAGCCCCGGGCUCAACCUGGGAAUGGCAAUGGAUACUGGCAGGCUAGAGUGCGGUAGAGGGUAGUGGAAUUCCCGGUGUAGCGGUGAAAUGCGUAGAGAUCGGGAGGAACACCAGUGGCGAAGGCGGCCAUCUGGACGACAAUUGACGCUGAGACGCGAAAGCGUGGGUAGCAAACAGG